GAUGAACGCUGGCGGCGUGCCUAAUACAUGCAAGUCGAGCGAACAGACGAGGAGCUUGCUCCUUCGACGUUAGCGGCGGACGGGUGAGUAACACGCAGGUAACCUACCUAUAAGACUGGGAUAACUUCGGGAAACCGGAGCUAAUACCGGAUAAUAUUUCGAACCGCAUGGUUCGAUAGUGAAAGAUGGCUUUGCUAUCACUUAUAGAUGGACCUGCGCCGUAUUAGCUAGUUGGUAAGGUAACGGCUUACCAAGGCAACGAUACGUAGCCGACCUGAGAGGGUGAUCGGCCACACUGGAACUGAGACACGGUCCAGACUCCUACGGGAGGCAGCAGUAGGGAAUCUUCCGCAAUGGGCGAAAGCCUGACGGAGCAACGCCGCGUGAGUGAUGAAGGUCUUCGGAUCGUAAAACUCGGUUAUUAGGGAAGAACAAACGUGUAAGUAACUGUGCACGUCUUGACGGUACCUAAUCAGAAAGCCACGGCUAACUACGUG
rnacentral:rRNA from 1 species